rnacentral:rRNA from 1 species
AUUGAACGCUGGCGGCAGGCCUAACACAUGCAAGUCGAGCGAGCGGCGGACGGGUGAGUAAUGUAUGGGGACUUCCCGAUAGAGGGGGAUAACUACUGGAAACGGUAGCUAAUACCGCAUACUAUCGGAUAACCCAUAUGGGAUUAGCUAGUAGGUGCGGUAAUGGCUCACUUAGGCGACGAUCCCUAGCUGGUCUGGGAGGAGGAUCAGCCACACUAGGACUGAGACACGGCCCAGACUACUACGGAGGCAGCAGGGGGGAAGAUUGCACAAUGGGCGCAAGCCUGAUGCAGCCAUGCCGCUUGUAUGAAGAAGGCCCUAGGGUUGUAAAGUACUUUCAGUCGGGAGGCGUUACCGACAGAAGAAGCACCGGCUAACUCCGUGCCAGCAGCCGCGGUAAUUC